GACGAACGCUGGCGGCGUGCCUAAUACAUGCAAGUAGAACGCUGAAGAGAGGAGCUUGCUCUUCUUGGAUGAGUUGCGAACGGGUGAGUAACGCGUAGGUAACCUGCCUUGUAGCGGGGGAUAACUAUUGGAAACGAUAGCUAAUACCGCAUAACAAUGGAUGACCCAUGUCAUUUAUUUGAAAGGGGCAAAUGCUCCACUACAAGAUGGACCUGCGUUGUAUUAGCUAGUGGGUGAGGUAACGGCUCACCUAGGCGACGAUACAUAGCCGACCCGAGAGGGUGAUCGGCCACACUGGGACUGAGACACGGCCCAGACUCCUACGGGAGGCAGCAGUAGGGAAUCUUCGGCAAUGGGGGCAACCCUGACCGAGCAACGCCGCGUGAGUGAAGAAGGUUUUCGGAUCGUAAAGCUCUGUUGUAAGUCAAGAACGAGUGUGAGAGUGGAAAGUUCACACUGUGACGGUAGCUUACCAGAAAGGGACGGCUAACUACGUG
rnacentral:rRNA from 1 species